rnacentral:tRNA from 1 species
GUGAAUGUAGCUCAGCCGGUAGAGCACCAGAUUGUGGCUCUGGGAGUCGCGGGUUCGAGUCCCGUCAUUCACCCCA